rnacentral:rRNA from 1 species
CCUACGGGAGGCAGCAGUGAGGAACAUUGGUCAAUGGGCGAGAGCCUGAACCAGCCAAGUCGCGUGAGGGAGUACUGCCCUAUGGGUUGUAAACCUCUUUUGUCGGGGAGCAAAAGCCGGACGUGUCCGGCUGUGAGAGUACCCGAAGAAAAAGCAUCGGCUAACUCCGUGCCAGCAGCCGCGGUAAUACGGAGGAUGCGAGCGUUAUCCGGAUUUAUUGGGUUUAAAGGGUGCGCAGGCGGAUUUUUAAGUCAGCGGUAAAAUCGUGGGGCUCAACCCCAUCCAGCCGUUGAAACUGGGGAUCUAGAGUGUGCGAGAGGUAUGCGGAAUGCGUGGUGUAGCGGUGAAAUGCAUAGAUAUCACGCAGAACCCCGAUUGCGAAGGCAGCAUACCGGUGCACAACUGACGCUCAGGCACGAAAGCGUGGGUAUCGAACAGGAUUAGAUACCCCUGUAGUC